rnacentral:rRNA from 1 species
AUAUCAGUCAUGCAUAGCAUAUCAAUAAGCGGAGGAAAAGAAACUAACAAGGAUUCCCUUAGUAACGGCGAGUGAAGCGGGAAGAGCUCAAAUUUGAAAUCUUCAAGGUUCUACCUUGACGAAUUGUAGUUUAUAGAAGUGUUUUCUGUCAGUGGAGUGGCAAAAGUUCUUUGGAAUAGGACAUCAUAGAGGGUGAGAAUCCCGUAUUUGGUCAUUCCUCCUAGCGUUGUGAUACACUUUCAACGAGUCGGAUUGUUUGGGAAUGCAGUCCAAAAUGGGUGGUAAAUUUCAUCUAAAGCUAAAUAUUGGCGAGAGACCGAUAGCGAACAAGUACCGUGAGGGAAAGAUGAAAAGAACUUUGAAAAGAGAGUUAAACAGUACGUGAAAUUGUCAAAAGGGAAGCGUUUGACACCAGUGUUGUUUUUCCGAAAAUCAAUUACGAAUGUUUUGUUUUUGAGAAGUUAUGACUUCAUCGGCAUGCUCUCUUCUUUACGAAACUUUCUUAAUGCACUUUUCGGUUAACAAGUCAACAUCAAUUUCUUUUGUUGUAAAAGGGUAUGAGGAAGGUGGCUUUCUUUUCGGAGAAAGUGUUUAUAGCCUUGUACCUCUGCAAUCGGAGAGAUUGAGGUCUGCAGCGUAGAUCCUUCGGGGUUAGAUACACUUGUGCUAAGUUAUAGCUUGUAUAGACAACUUGUUGACUAUGCUCAGUCAUGUAGCUUACUCGCUUGUGCUAUUUUACCUACGCUUAGGAUGUUGAUCUCUCACAGUCGAGC